rnacentral:rRNA from 1 species
UACGUAGGCAGCGAGCGUUGUUCGGAAUUACUGGGCGUAAAGAGUGUGUAGGCGGUGCUCUAAGUUCGGUGUGAAAUCUCCCGGCUUAACUGGGAGGGUGCGCCGGAAACUGGAGUGCUCGAGCGUGGGAGAGGAAAGCGGAAUUCCUGGUGUAGCGGUGAAAUGCGCAGAUAUCAGGAAGAACACCCGUGGCGAAGGCGGCUCUCUGGAACGCAACUGACGCUGAGACGCGAAAGCGUGGGGAGCAAACAGG